GUAUGCAUGCGGAGGACGUCGUUGUUUAACAGCAGAGAAAGCUUUUCGUUUUUUGCUUUCAGUAGCUUUUGGCCACAUGGACAGAAGAGAAAGCGGUUCCUUAAAUAAAAGGCCCAAGUUUGCUGUCUUCCAGCGCCCCAGGGCAUGGAGCUAGCCAGCGGUGAGAUUCCAUCAAUUAGUGCACCCCCGCGGCCUCUUGGCAGAGCCCACCUUUGACUGCAGUGAGAUAUUGAUUAGUUCAGCUGCACUGUCAGGUCUGAAGUGUGCAAGGCCCAGUGAUCCAAGGCCUUCACCAGAGACAAGAUCAUGUCAAGUUUCUGACACAUAUCAUCUCCAAAGAUCUGUGAAUAUCAGGAGCCGGGAGGGGAUCAGUGGGACUGGACAAGAUCAUUUGCAGAAGAAAUAUAAAGUCCCAAUCUGCUAUGUAGUUCUGGAAAGAAGGCUGGAAGUAUGGUUAGACUUUUAU